rnacentral:lncRNA from 1 species
CUACCCGCCCAGUCUGCAGCUUCCUGUAGAUCCCCCAUGUCUGUGACCUUAGUGUGGUCAACAGCUGGGGCCUGCCAUAGCUGGCUGCGCAGUGUCUCGCUGCUCCUCGAUCCAAGAACUGGCACCUCUACCAGAUUCUAAUAGAUUCUCUAUUAGAUCCUCUAACAGAGCUGCAGAAUAUAGGAAUAUAGGUUUGCACCGUUUUGCUCAUAUAUUUAAAUCAUCUCAUCUUGCAGACUUGUGGCUGUUUACUGUAUUCAUUAUAUAUCGUUUUCCUCCAGAGUGACUAAUGAUCGUUUUCACAUGAUGAACAGUUUCCCAGUUUCACCUCUUGGUGUCGCUAAUGGACCAAUAGCUGCAGAAAAGUACUUACGCCAGCCAGCGAGCUACCAUGGAUCUGCGCAUGUUUCUACGUUACAUUUUUUAUACAUCUGACCUUAGAUGUAGAUUUGUGCUUACGUCGGGUUUUUGUGCGUAAGUACUCUUUGUACAUGAGACCCCUGGUGUCUAUGGGGCACAUAUUAAUGUCAGUUUUAUUAGGAUUUUUAAUGGCUUGAAUUAAAGGAGAAUGUACGGAGCCCCUUAAAGGACAUACACUAGAGGAAAAAAAUAGGUGAACUAUCGCGGCCUUGCGAGAUCCCGAGAAACUUUGGCUUCAUGUGGACAGAGGAGCUACGAAGUAGCUUCAGGAUGCUCGAAGGAAACUGGAAAAACAGCCAGGACAGAACGGUUGAAUGUAAUAGUGGCUUCAUCACUGCCGAUUCAUCUUGGGUGAAGUUCCGAAUCUGCUGAUGAGAGAAUGUGUGUUGUGGAUCAUUAGUUCAAACAAGCAGCAGUCAAACUAACAUUAGAAGACCAAGGACAAACCAGAAAAAACAGCCGUGACAGAACGGUGGAAUGAACACCAAGUAAGUAAUAUGUUUGACUGUUUAUUGUUUUAGUUUGCGCUGUGAAGUUUGAGCACAGUUACGAGCUGCUGCUCCUACUCGUGUUGUGGACUAACAUUAGCUUACGCUGCUGUGCAUUAGCUUGGCUACCCUCAACCCUAAUAGUAAUGAAAUAACCGGCUAAAGAAGCUCACUGCAAUCC